GGUGAGUAACACGUAAGUAACCUACCUUUAAGACGAGGAUAACAAUCGGAAACGGUUGCUAAGACUGGAUAGGAAACAGAAAGGCAUCUUUUUGUUUUUAAAAGACCUUCUUCGGAGGGUAUGCUUAAAGAGGGGCUUGCGCCACAUUAGUUAGUUGGUGAGGUAAAGGCUUACCAAGAUUAUGAUGUGUAGCUGGACUGAGAGGUUGAACAGCCACAUUGGGACUGAGACACGGCCCAAACUCCUACGGGAGGCAGCAGUAGGGAAUUUUCGGCAAUGGAGGAAACUCUGACCGAGCGACGCCGCGUGAACGAUGAAGUAUUUCGGUAUGUAAAGUUCUUUUAUUGAAGAAGAAAAAAUAGUGGAAAAACUAUCUUGACGUUAUUCAAUGAAUAAGCCCCGGCUAACUAUGUGCCAGCAGCCGCGGUAAGACAUAGGGGGCGAGCGUUAUCCGGAAUUAUUGGGCGUAAAGGGUGCGUAGGCGGUUAGAUAAGUCUAUAAUUUAAUUUCAGUGCUUAACGCUGUCUUGUUAUAGAAACUGUCUUGACUAGAGUGAGAUAGAGGCAAGCGGAAUUCCAUGUGUAGCGGUAAAAUGUGUAAAUAUAUGGAGGAACACCAGAAGCGUAGGCGGCUUGCUGGGUCUUUACUGACGCUGAGGCACGAAAGCGUGGGGAGCAAACAGGAUUAGAUACCCUGGUAGUCCACGCUGUAAACGAUGAGUACUAAGUGUCGGGGUAACUCGGUACUGAAGUUAACACAUUAAGUACUCCGCCUGAGUAGUACGUACGCAAGUAUGAAACUUAAAGGAAUUGACGGGACUCCGCACAAGCGGUGGAUCAUGUUGUUUAAUUCGAAGAUACACGAAAAACCUUACCAGGUCUUGACAUACUCUGCAAAGCUAUAGAAAUAUAGUGGAGGUUAUCAGGGAUACAGGUGGUGCAUGGUUGUCGUCAGUUCGUGUCGUGAGAUGUUAGGUUAAGUCCUAAAACGAACGCAACCCCUGUCGCUAGUUGCCAGCACGUAAUGGUGGGGACUUUAGCGAGACUGCCAAUUAAACAUUGGAGGAAGGUGGGGAUAACGUCAAAUCAUCAUGCCCCUUAUGAUCUGGGCUACAAACGUGAUACAAUGGCUAUUACAAAGAGUAGCUGAAACGCGAGUUUUUAGCCAAUCUCAAAAAGGUAGUCUCAGUACGGAUUGAAGUCUGCAACUCGACUUCAUGAAGCUGGAAUCGCUAGUAAUCGCGAAUCAGCAUGUCGCGGUGAAUACGUUCUCGGGGUUUGUACACACCGCCCGUCAAACCACGAAAGUUAGCAAUACCCGAAAGCAGUGGCUUAACUUCGCAAGAAGAGGGAGCUGUUUAAGGUAGGGUUGAUGAUUGGGGUUAAGUCGUACCAAGGUAUCCUUACCGGAAGGUGAGGAUGGAUCACCUCCUUUCUAA
rnacentral:rRNA from 1 species